rnacentral:rRNA from 1 species
UUGGAGGGCAAGUCUGGUGCCAGCAGCCGCGGUAAUACCAGCUCCAAUAGCGUAUAUUAAAGUUGUUGCAGUUAAAAAGCUCGUAGUUGAAUUUCGGGAUCAGAGUGUCGGUCGUGCCUCGGUACGUACUGGUAUUAUUGGUUCCUACCUUCUGAAGAACCGCGAUGUCAUUAAUUUGGUGUCGUGGGGAAUCAGGACUGUUACUUUGAAAAAAUUAGAGUGUUUAAAGCAGGCUUACGCUUGAAUACAUUAGCAUGGAAUAAUGAAAUAGGACGUUGGUUCUAUUUUGUUGGUUUCUAGGAUUGACGUAAUGAUUAAUAGGGAUAGUUGGGGGCAUUAGUAUUCAAUUGUCAGAGGUGAAAUUCUUGGAUUUAUUGAAGACUAACUACUGCGAAAGCAUUUGCCAAGGAUGUUUACGUUAAUCAAGAACGAAAGUUAGGGGAUCGAAGACGAUCAGAUACCGUCGUAGUCUUAACCAUAAACUAUGCCGACUAGGGAUCGGAUGAUGUUAAUUUUUUAAUGACUCAUUCGGCGCCUUACGGGAAACCAAAGUGUUUGGGUUC